rnacentral:rRNA from 1 species
AGACCCGAAACCCGGUGAUCUAGCCAUGGGCAGGUUGAAGGUUGGGUAACACUAACUGGAGGACCGAACCGACUAAUGUUGAAAAAUUAGCGGAUGACCUGUGGCUGGGGGUGAAAGGCCAAUCAAACCGGGAGAUAGCUGGUUCUCCCCGAAAGCUAUUUAGGUAGCGCCUCGUGAAUUCAUCUCCGGGGGUAGAGCACUGUUUCGGCUAGGGGGCCAUCCCGGCUUACCAACCCGAUGCAAACUGCGAAUACCGGAGAAUGUUAUCACGGGAGACACACGGCGGGUGCUAACGUCCGUCGUGAAGAGGGAAACAACCCAGACCGCCAGCUAAGGUCCCAAAGUCAUGGUUAAGUGGGAAACGAUGUGGGAAGGCCCAGACAGCCAGGAUGUUGGCUUAGAAGCAGCCAUCAUUUAAAGAAAGCGUAAUAGCUCACUGGUCGAGUCGGCCUGCGCGGAAGAUGUAACGGGGCUAAACCAUGCACCGAAGCUGCGGCAGCGACACUCAGGUGUUGUUGGGUAGGGGAGCGUUCUGUAAGCCUGCG